UACGUAGGGUGGAAGCGUUGUCCGGAAUUAUUGGGCGUAAAGAGCUCGUAGGCGGUUUGUCGCGUCUGGUGUGAAAAUCCAGGGCUUAACCCUGGACCUGCAUCGGGUACGGGCAGACUAGAGUGCGGUAGGGGAGAUCGGAAUUCCUGGUGUAGCGGUGAAAUGCGCAGAUAUCAGGAGGAACACCGGUGGCGAAGGCGGAUCUCUGGGCCGUAACUGACGCUGAGGAGCGAAAGCAUGGGGAGCGAACAGG
rnacentral:rRNA from 1 species